AUGAACGCUAGCGGCAGGCUUAAUACAUGCAAGUUGAGGGGCAGCAUGAUAUACGCGAGUAUAUUGAUGGCGACCGGCGGACGGGUGAGUAAUAGGUAGGUAACCUACCUCAUACUGAGGCAUAGCUGGGAGAAAUUCCAGGUAAUUCCUCAUGAGGUUAUAUGACACAUGUGAUAUAAUCAAAGGUAUCGCAAGGUACUGGUAUGAGAUGGGCUUACUGACCAUUAGCUAGUUGGUGAGAUAAGAGCUCACCAAGGCGAAGAUGGUUAGGGGUUUUGAGAGAGAGAUCCCCCACAUUGGAACUGAGAUACGGUCCAGACUCCUACGGGAGGCAGCAGUAGGGAAUAUUGCACAAUGGGCGAAAGCCUGAUGCAGCGACGCCGCGUGAGGGAUGACGGCCUUCGGGUUGUAAACCUCUUUCAGCAGGGAAGAAGCGAAAGUGACGGUACCUGCAGAAGAAGCACCGGCUAACUACGUG
rnacentral:rRNA from 1 species